rnacentral:rRNA from 1 species
UACAGAGGUCCCAAGCGUUGUUCGGAUUCACUGGGCGUAAAGGGUGCGUAGGUGGUCGGGUAAGUCUGAUGUGAAAUCUCCGAGCCUAACUCGGAAACUGCAUCGGAUACUAUUCAGCUAGAGGAUUGGAGGGGGGACUGGAAUACUUGGUGUAGCAGUGAAAUGCGUAGAUAUCAAGUAGAACACCAGUGGCGAAGGCGAGUCCCUGGACAACUCCUGACGCUGAGGCACGAAAGCGUGGGGAGCAAACAGG